AUUCAAACAAAUUUAACGUCAAUCUAAUUAUUCAUACCAAAAAUUUAUAACAAGAGUUCAUUAUAUCCUAGGAAUAUAAAAAUCUAGCCAUGCAUAAUGUUGAAAUUAAACAUGGAAGAGUUAAAAGGCAUCACCAAAAUUUUUGACAGAACGUGAUUUAUUCUUCUAUCCACAUGCCUUCCGUCCGCCGUCUAUACGUGUAUUUAUCUUCAACUCUUCACUGCCUCUUUUCUUUGAAUCUUCCGUGUUUUUGCAGUCUAUAUAAUAAAGCAUACAGCACCUUUUUAUUUCCAGCAGCCCCAAAUCUCUAAAUGCGUGAAUGUACUUUGUCUCCCCACCGAAUUCCCUUUUUUCUUCUCUCCAGCCGCCGUUCUUGUGAUUAUAUUUUCUCCAGCCGACUCCUCCAAUGUGUGUAAAAAAAAUAAUAUUGCUGCCCACUUUUCUCUCUUUUUCCACCCACCAAUUCAGCCCAACAAACUCUCCCCAAAGCUGCUUCAAUUUAUGUUAUUA
rnacentral:lncRNA from 1 species